rnacentral:rRNA from 1 species
AGUGAACGCUGGCGGUAGGCCUAACACAUGCAAGUCGAACGGCAGCACAGUAAGAGCUUGCUCUUACGGGUGGCGAGUGGCGGACGGGUGAGGAAUACAUCGGAAUCUACUUUUUCGUGGGGGAUAACGUAGGGAAACUUACGCUAAUACCGCAUACGACCUACGGGUGAAAGCAGGGGAUCUUCGGACCUUGCGCGAUUGAAUGAGCCGAUGUCGGAUUAGCUAGUUGGCGGGGUAAAGGCCCACCAAGGCGACGAUCCGUAGCUGGUCUGAGAGGAUGACCAGCCACACUGGAACUGAGACACGGUCCAGACUCCCACGGGAGGCAGCAGUGGGGAAUAUUGGACAAUGGGCGCAAGCCUGAUCCAGCCAUACCGCGUGGGUGAAGAAGGCCUUCGGGUUGUAAAGCCCUUUUGUUGGGAAAGAAAAGCAGCAGGUUAAUACCCCGCUGUUCUGACGGUACCCAAAGAAUAAGCACCGGCUAACUUCGUG